rnacentral:rRNA from 1 species
UUGCGAUAGCUCAUUACAACAGCCUUAGUUUAUUGGAUCUUAGAGUCCUACUUGGAUAACUGUGGUAAUUCUAGAGCUAAUACACGCAAUUAAUCCUCAACCUUACGGGCGAGGAGCAUUUAUUAGAACAAAACCAAUCGGCUUCGGCCGUAUCUGGUGAAUCUGAAUAACUACGCUGAUCGCAUGGUCUCGUACCGGCGACAUAUCCUUCAAGUGUCUGCCUUAUCAACUGUCGAUGGUAGUUUACACGCCUACCAUGGUUGUAACGGGUAACGGAGAAUAAGGGUUCGACUCCGGAGAGGGAGCCUGAGAAACGGCUACCACAUCCAAGGAAGGCAGCAGGCGCGCAAAUUACCCACUCUCAGAACGAGGAGGUAGUGACGAAAAAUAACGAGACAGUUCUCUAUGAGGUCUGUCAUCGGAAUGGGUACAAUUUAAACCCUUUAACGAGGAUCUAUUGGAGGGCAAGUCUGGUGCCAGCAGCCGCGGUAAUUCCAGCUCCAAUAGCGUAUAUUAAAGUUGUUGCGGUUAAAAAGCUCGUAGUUGGAUCUGCGGUCGUAGACUCUGGUUCCCUCCUAGGGAUACUAGCUGUCUCGACCUACCUUGUUAGAUUUCCCUUGGUGCUCUUUACUGAGUGCCUUGGGUGUCUAGCUCGUUUACUUUGAAAAAAUUAGAGUGCUUAAAGCAGGCAUUUGCCUGAAUAGUGGUGCAUGGAAUAAUGGAAUAGGACCUCGGUUCUAUUUUGUUGGUUUUCGGAGCAUGAGGUAAUGAUUAAGAGGGACAGACGGGGGCAUUCGUAAUGCUACGUKAGAGGUGAAAUUCUUGGAUCGUAGCAUGACGAACAACUGCGAAAGCAUUUGCCAAGAAUGUUUUCAUUAAUCAAGAACGAUAGUAGAGGUUCGAAGGCGAUCAGAUACCGCCC